UUGAACGCUGGCGGCAUGCUUUACACAUGCAAGUCGAACGGCAACGAGGAGAAGCUUGCUUCUCUGUCGGCGAGUGGCGAACGGGUGAGUAUAGCAUCGGAACGUGCCAAGUAGUGGGGGAUAACCAAACGAAAGUUUGGCUAAUACCGCGUAAGCUCCAAGGAGGAAAGUAGGGGACCUAAAUAAGGCCUUACGCUAUUUGAUCGGCCGAUGUCGGAUUAGCUAGUUGGUGGGGUAAUGGCUCACCAAGGCAAUGAUCCGUAGCGGGUCUGAGAGGACGAUCCGCCACACUGGGACUGAGACACGGCCCAGACUCCUACGGGAGGCAGCAGUGGGGAAUUUUGGACAAUGGGGGAAACCCUGAUCCAGCCAUGCCGCGUGUAUGAAGAAGGCCUUAGGGUUGUAAAGUACUUUUGUUAGGGAAGAAAAGCUAGUUUUUAAUAAAAAGUAGUGAUGACGGUACCUAAAGAAUAAGCACCGGCUAACUACGUG
rnacentral:rRNA from 1 species